rnacentral:ncRNA from 2 species
UGAAUACAGUGGUUUACAGGUUCGUGCAUAUUUGUAUGCAGAUUAAUAGGGAAGCAGGUGAGAUUCCUGCACGGUCCCGCCGGCUGUGAGGGGGAAGCUCUUCAGAUUAUUGCCACUGGGAAACUGGAAGGUAUGAAGAGUUGAUGAACCUAAGUCAGAAGACCUGCCUGUAAAUAACACCAUAA